GUGGGGAAUAUUGGACAAUGGGCGAAAGCCUGAUCCAGCCAUGCCGCGUGUGUGAAGAAGGUCUUCGGAUUGUAAAGCACUUUAAGUUGGGAGGAAGGGCAGUAAGUUAAUACCUUGCUGUUUUGACGUUACCAACAGAAUAAGCACCGGCUAACUUCGUGCCAGCAGCCGCGGUAAUACGAAGGGUGCAAGCGUUAAUCGGAAUUACUGGGCGUAAAGCGCGCGUAGGUGGUUCAGCAAGUUGAAGGUGAAAUCCCCGGGCUCAACCUGGGAACUGCCUCCAAAACUACUGAGCUAGAGUACGGUAGAGGGUAGUGGAAUUUCCUGUGUAGCGGUGAAAUGCGUAGAUAUAGGAAGGAACACCAGUGGCGAAGGCGACUACCUGGACUGAUACUGACACUGAGGUGCGAAAGCGUGGGGAGCAAACAGGAUUAGAUACCCGAGUAGUCC
rnacentral:rRNA from 1 species